CACGUAGGGGACGAGCGUUGUUCGGAAUUACUGGGCGUAAAGGGCUCGUAGGCGGCCAACUAAGUCAGACGUGAAAUCCCUCGGCUUAACCGGGGAACUGCGUCCGAUACUGGAUGGCUUGGAUUUGGGAGAGGGAUGCGGAAUUCCAGGUGUAGCGGUGAAAUGCGUAGAUAUCUGGAGGAACACCGGUGGCGAAGGCGGCAUCCUGGACCAAUAUUGACGCUGAGGAGCGAAAGCCAGGGGAGCAAACGGG
rnacentral:rRNA from 1 species